GGUUAAGCGACUAAGCGUACACGGUGGAUGCCCUGGCAGUCAGAGGCGAUGAAGGACGUGCUAAUCUGCGAUAAGCGUCGGUAAGGUGAUAUGAACCGUUAUAACCGGCGAUUUCCGAAUGGGGAAACCCAGUGUGUUUCGACACACUAUCAUUAACUGAAUCCAUAGGUUAAUGAGGCGAACCGGGGGAACUGAAACAUCUAAGUACCCCGAGGAAAAGAAAUCAACCGAGAUUCCCCCAGUAGCGGCGAGCGAACGGGGAGCAGCCCAGAGCCUGAAUCAGUGUGUGUGUUAGUGGAAGCGUCUGGAAAGGCGCGCGAUACAGGGUGACAGCCCCGUACACAAAAAUGCACAUGCUGUGAGCUCGAUGAGUAGGGCGGGACACGUGGUAUCCUGUCUGAAUAUGGGGGGACCAUCCUCCAAGGCUAAAUACUCCUGACUGACCGAUAGUGAACCAGUACCGUGAGGGAAAGGCGAAAAGAACCCCGGCGAGGGGAGUGAAAAAGAACCUGAAACCGUGUACGUACAAGCAGUGGGAGCACGCUUAGGCGUGUGACUGCGUACCUUUUGUAUAAUGGGUCAGCGACUUAUAUUCUGUAGCAAGGUUAACCGAAUAGGGGAGCCGAAGGGAAACCGAGUCUUAACUGGGCGUUAAGUUGCAGGGUAUAGACCCGAAACCCGGUGAUCUAGCCAUGGGCAGGUUGAAGGUUGGGUAACACUAACUGGAGGACCGAACCGACUAAUGUUGAAAAAUUAGCGGAUGACUUGUGGCUGGGGGUGAAAGGCCAAUCAAACCGGGAGAUAGCUGGUUCUCCCCGAAAGCUAUUUAGGUAGCGCCUCGUGAAUUCAUCUCCGGGGGUAGAGCACUGUUUCGGCAAGGGGGUCAUCCCGACUUACCAACCCGAUGCAAACUGCGAAUACCGGAGAAUGUUAUCACGGGAGACACACGGCGGGUGCUAACGUCCGUCGUGAAGAGGGAAACAACCCAGACCGCCAGCUAAGGUCCCAAAGUCAUGGUUAAGUGGGAAACGAUGUGGGAAGGCCCAGACAGCCAGGAUGUUGGCUUAGAAGCAGCCAUCAUUUAAAGAAAGCGUAAUAGCUCACUGGUCGAGUCGGCCUGCGCGGAAGAUGUAACGGGGCUAAACCAUGCACCGAAGCUGCGGCAGCGACGCUUAUGCGUUGUUGGGUAGGGGAGCGUUCUGUAAGCCUGCGAAGGUGUGCUGUGAGGCAUGCUGGAGGUAUCAGAAGUGCGAAUGCUGACAUAAGUAACGAUAAAGCGGGUGAAAAGCCCGCUCGCCGGAAGACCAAGGGUUCCUGUCCAACGUUAAUCGGGGCAGGGUGAGUCGACCCCUAAGGCGAGGCCGAAAGGCGUAGUCGAUGGGAAACAGGUUAAUAUUCCUGUACUUGGUGUUACUGCGAAGGGGGGACGGAGAAGGCUAUGUUGGCCGGGCGACGGUUGUCCCGGUUUAAGCGUGUAGGCUGGUUUUCCAGGCAAAUCCGGAAAAUCAAGGCUGAGGCGUGAUGACGAGGCACUACGGUGCUGAAGCAACAAAUGCCCUGCUUCCAGGAAAAGCCUCUAAGCAUCAGGUAAUAUCAAAUCGUACCCCAAACCGACACAGGUGGUCAGGUAGAGAAUACCAAGGCGCUUGAGAGAACUCGGGUGAAGGAACUAGGCAAAAUGGUGCCGUAACUUCGGGAGAAGGCACGCUGAUAUGUAGGUGAAGUCCCUCGCGGAUGGAGCUGAAAUCAGUCGAAGAUACCAGCUGGCUGCAACUGUUUAUUAAAAACACAGCACUGUGCAAACACGAAAGUGGACGUAUACGGUGUGACGCCUGCCCGGUGCCGGAAGGUUAAUUGAUGGGGUCAGCGCAAGCGAAGCUCUUGAUCGAAGCCCCGGUAAACGGCGGCCGUAACUAUAACGGUCCUAAGGUAGCGAAAUUCCUUGUCGGGUAAGUUCCGACCUGCACGAAUGGCGUAAUGAUGGCCAGGCUGUCUCCACCCGAGACUCAGUGAAAUUGAACUCGCUGUGAAGAUGCAGUGUACCCGCGGCAAGACGGAAAGACCCCGUGAACCUUUACUAUAGCUUGACACUGAACAUUGAGCCUUGAUGUGUAGGAUAGGUGGGAGGCUUUGAAGUGUGGACGCCAGUCUGCAUGGAGCCGACCUUGAAAUACCACCCUUUAAUGUUUGAUGUUCUAACGUUGACCCGUGAUCCGGGUUGCGGACAGUGUCUGGUGGGUAGUUUGACUGGGGCGGUCUCCUCCUAAAGAGUAACGGAGGAGCACGAAGGUUGGCUAAUCCUGGUCGGACAUCAGGAGGUUAGUGCAAUGGCAUAAGCCAGCUUGACUGCGAGCGUGACGGCGCGAGCAGGUGCGAAAGCAGGUCAUAGUGAUCCGGUGGUUCUGAAUGGAAGGGCCAUCGCUCAACGGAUAAAAGGUACUCCGGGGAUAACAGGCUGAUACCGCCCAAGAGUUCAUAUCGACGGCGGUGUUUGGCACCUCGAUGUCGGCUCAUCACAUCCUGGGGCUGAAGUAGGUCCCAAGGGUAUGGCUGUUCGCCAUUUAAAGUGGUACGCGAGCUGGGUUUAGAACGUCGUGAGACAGUUCGGUCCCUAUCUGCCGUGGGCGCUGGAGAACUGAGGGGGGCUGCUCCUAGUACGAGAGGACCGGAGUGGACGCAUCACUGGUGUUCGGGUUGUCAUGCCAAUGGCACUGCCCGGUAGCUAAAUGCGGAAGAGAUAAGUGCUGAAAGCAUCUAAGCACGAAACUUGCCCCGAGAUGAGUUCUCCCUGACCCUUUAAGGGUCCUGAAGGAACGUUGAAGACGACGACGUUGAUAGGCCGGGUGUGUAAGCGCAGCGAUGCGUUGAGCUAACCGGUACUAAUGAACCGUGAGGCUUAACCUU
rnacentral:rRNA from 1 species